CACGUAGGCGGCGAUUUAAGUCAGAGGUGAAAGCCGGGGCUCAACCCCGGAACUGCCUUUGAGACUGGAUCGCUUGAAUCCUGGAGAGGUGAGUGGAAUUCCGAGUGUAGAGGUGAAAUUCGUAGAUAUUCGGAAGAACACCAGUGGCGAAGGCGGCUCACUGGACAGGUAUUGACGCUGAGGUGCGAAAGCGUGGGGAGCAAACA
rnacentral:rRNA from 1 species